GACGAACGCUGGCGGCGUGCCUAAUACAUGCAAGUCGAGCGGACAGAAGGGAGCUUGCUCCCGGAAGUUAGCGGCGGACGGGUGAGUAACACGUGGGCAACCUACCCUGUAGAUCGGGAUAACGUCGAGAAAUCGGUGCUAAUACCGGAUAAUCAUUUGAAGUGCAUGCUUCGAAUGUAAAAGAUGGCUCCGGCUAUCACUACGGGAUGGGCCCGCGGCGCAUUAGCUGGUUGGUAAGGUAAUGGCUUACCAAGGCAACGAUGCGUAGCCGACCUGAGAGGGUGAUCGGGCACACGGGGACUGAGACCCGCCCCAGACUCCUACGGGAGGCAGCAGUAGGGAAUCUUCCGCAAGGGACGAAAGUCUGACGGAGCAACGCCGCGUGAGUGAUGAAGGUUUUCGGAUCGUAAAGCUCUGUUGUUAGGGAAGAACAAGUGCCGUUUGAAUAAGGCGGCACCUUGACGGUACCUAACCAGAAAGCCACGGCUAACUACGUGCCAGCCGCCGCCGUAAUAC
rnacentral:rRNA from 1 species